AUGAACGCUAGCUACAGGCUUAACACAUGCAAGUCGAGGGGCAGCAUGGUCUUAGCUUGCUAAGGCCGAUGGCGACCGGCGCACGGGUGAGUAACACGUAUCCAACCUGCCGUCUACUCUUGGACAGCCUUCUGAAAGGAAGAUUAAUACAAGAUGGCAUCAUGAGUCCACAUGUUCACAUGAUUAAAGGUAUUCCGGUAGACGAUGGGGAUGCGUUCCAUUAGAUAGUAGGCGGGGUAACGGCCCACCUAGUCUUCGAUGGAUAGGGGUUCUGAGAGGAAGGUCCCCCACAUUGGAACUGAGACACGGUCCAAACUCCUACGGGAGGCAGCAGUGAGGAAUAUUGGUCAAUGGGCGAGAGCCUGAACCAGCCAAGUAGCGUGAAGGAUGACUGCCCUAUGGGUUGUAAACUUCUUUUAUAAAGGAAUAAAGUCGGGUAUGCAUACCCGUUUGCAUGUACUUUAUGAAUAAGGAUCGGCUAACUCCGUGCCAGCAGCCGCGGUAAUACGGAGGAUCCGAGCGUUAUCCGGAUUUAUUGGGUUUAAAGGGAGCGUAGAUGGAUGUUUAAGUCAGUUGUGAAAGUUUGCGGCUCAACCGUAAAAUUGCAGUUGAUACUGGAUAUCUUGAGUGCAGUUGAGGCAGGCGGAAUUCGUGGUGUAGCGGUGAAAUGCUUAGAUAUCACGAAGAACUCCGAUUGCGAAGGCAGCCUGCUAAGCUGCAACUGACAUUGAGGCUCGAAAGUGUGGGUAUCAAACAGGAUUAGAUACCCUGGUAGUCCACACGGUAAACGAUGAAUACUCGCUGUUUGCGAUAUACUGCAAGCGGCCAAGCGAAAGCGUUAAGUAUUCCACCUGGGGAGUACGCCGGCAACGGUGAAACUCAAAGGAAUUGACGGGGGCCCGCACAAGCGGAGGAACAUGUGGUUUAAUUCGAUGAUACGCGAGGAACCUUACCCGGGCUUAAAUUGCAGAUGAAUUACGGUGAAAGCCGUAAGCCGCAAGGCAUCUGUGAAGGUGCUGCAUGGUUGUCGUCAGCUCGUGCCGUGAGGUGUCGGCUUAAGUGCCAUAACGAGCGCAACCCUUGUUGUCAGUUACUAACAGGUUCUGCUGAGGACUCUGACAAGACUGCCAUCGUAAGAUGUGAGGAAGGUGGGGAUGACGUCAAAUCAGCACGGCCCUUACGUCCGGGGCUACACACGUGUUACAAUGGGGGGUACAGAGGGCCGCUACCACGCGAGUGGAUGCCAAUCCCAAAAACCUCUCUCAGUUCGGACUGGGGUCUGCAACCCGACUCCACGAAGCUGGAUUCGCUAGUAAUCGCGCAUCAGCCACGGCGCGGUGAAUACGUUCCCGGGCCUUGUACACACCGCCCGUCAAGCCAUGGGAGCCGGGGGUACCUGAAGUGCGUAACCGCGAGGAGCGCCCUAGGGUAAAACUGGUGACUGGGGCU
rnacentral:rRNA from 1 species